AGCCGGCAAAGGAGCCCUGGCCUGAGAAGCGCCUGAAGGCCCUGGCGCCUGAGUGCCCUCGUGCCAGAGGCCCGUCGUGCGAAUUUUUCAGUAAGGAGUUUGGCUUCUGCCACCUAUUGCGUUCCUAUCGUCCUUGAUACUCGUGGACACCUGGAGCCACCCGCCCAGCUCAGUCACUGUGCAGUGGAGUCUGCUGGAGGCCUGGCGAGGUGGUCCUUCUCCACCAUGAAGCUAAGGAUCCCAGACUGGAUGGUGAAGAUGGCCUGGGCUAGGUUGCCUGGAUGGAAAUCUAUGACAAAAAGACCCAGCUUUUUAUUGCACUUAAAUCUUCCAUUGGUUUUAUCAGUUGACUUUGCCAUGAAUAACCUUAUGGAUGCGGCUGGACCCAUAUGUCAUUCAAAAAUCAGAAAGGAGGAACUCAGCAUACAUGCAAGGAUGUCAAGAAGAUAAAAAUUUCAGCAGAAUAGUAUACAGCAGACUGCAGAAUUGACAUAAUGCUGAGGUGCGAAAUUGAGGGAACACUGUCAUCUACCAGGUAAGAAUCAAGUGCCUCUGAUCAUUCUUCCAAAUCGCUAUAGAGAUAAAAACAUGUGCUAGAUCAACAGGCACAUAUCUAGUCAUAAGUUUUAGUUGAAUUUCUUCAGAGUAUAUGCCAUAUUUGCAACUGCAG
rnacentral:lncRNA from 9 species